rnacentral:misc_RNA from 1 species
UUUCCGUAGGUGAACCUGCGGAAGGAUCAUUAUUGUAUAACCGAGGUGCGAGGGCUGUCGCUGACCCGAAAGGUCGUGCACGCCCGAGUGCCCUCACACACAUCCAUAUCACCCCUAUGUGCACCACCGCGUGGGUCCCCCUUUGGCUUGUUCGGAGGGGGGCUUACGUUUUCACACAAACUUUGUAUGCAGUGUAGAAUGUAUUUUUUGUUUUUGCGAUCACGCAAUCAAUACAACUUUCAACAACGGAUCUCUUGGCUCUC